UACGGAGGGUGCAAGCGUUAAUCGGAAUUACUGGGCGUAAAGCGUGCGCAGGCGGUUUGUUAAGUCCGUUGUGAAAGCCCCGAGCUCAACUUGGGAAUUGCAGUGGAUACUGGCAGGCUGGAGUACGGUAGAGGAAGGUGGAAUUCCCGGUGUAGCAGUGAAAUGCGUAGAUAUCGGGAGGAACACCAGUGGCGAAGGCGGUUGCCUGGAGCUUUGCUGACGCUGAUGCGCGAAAGCGUGGGGAGCGAUCCGG
rnacentral:rRNA from 1 species